rnacentral:rRNA from 1 species
UGGGGAAUAUUGGACAAUGGGCGGAAGCCUGAUCCAGCCAUGCCGCGUGUGUGAAGAAGGCCUUUUGGUUGUAAAGCACUUUAAGCGAGGAGGAGGCUACUUGGAUUAAUACUCUAGGAUAGUGGACGUUACUCGCAGAAUAAGCACCGGCUAACUCUGUGCCAGCAGCCGCGGUAAUACAGAGGGUGCGAGCGUUAAUCGGAUUUACUGGGCGUAAAGCGUGCGUAGGCGGCUUCUUAAGUCGGAUGUGAAAUCCCUGAGCUUAACUUAGGAAUUGCAUUCGAUACUGGGAAGCUAGAGUAUGUGAGAGGAUGGUAGAAUUCCAGGUGUAGCGGUGAAAUGCGUAGAGAUCUGGAGGAAUACCGAUGGCGAAGGCAGCCAUCUGGCCUAAUACUGACGCUGAGGUACGAAAGCAUGGGGAGCAAACAGG